GAUUUCUUCAAAGACAAUGCUGUGAGAAGGAAUGCAGCGAAAAUUUCAUAAAAUCGAAUUGUCCGGGAACACGUAAAGGUGAUAAAGUGAAGAGAAUUGAAAUUAUUGGCCAUCAACCAACUACGUCUAAAACCAUGACUACUGCAAGACCACGACAUAAGUGGAGAUUUAUUAGGAGGAAUAGAACUACUACCACCAGUCGUCCAACUACCACUACAACAACUACUACCAUUCGUCCAACUACAACUUCUAGAACCACUACAGAAUAUG